UACGUAGGGGGCGAGCGUUAUCCGGAAUUACUGGGCGUAAAGCGCACGUAGGUGGUUUGUUAAGCCAGCUGUGAAAUCCCCGGGCUCAACCUGGGCACUGCAGUUGGAACUGGCAAGCUAGAGUAGGGUAGAGGGGUGUGGAAUUCCAGGUGUAGCGGUGAAAUGCGUAGAUAUCUGGAGGAACAUCAGUGGCGAAGGCGACACCCUGGACUCAUACUGACACUGAGGUGCGAAAGCGUGGGGAGCAAACAGG
rnacentral:rRNA from 1 species